rnacentral:rRNA from 1 species
ACGCACCUUGCGCUCCUUGGGUAUUCCGAGGAGCAUGCCUGUUUGAGUGUCAUUAAAUUCUCAACCCCUCCAAUUCGUUUUGGACGUGGGCUUGGGACUGUGGGGGUUUGCCGGGUGACCUUGUGUGGGUCGGCUCUCCUGAAAAUUUCAUUUGGGCAAGGGGACUGGUGUUGCGUGUUUGCCCUCGGGCGUGAAUAAUGAAUCGGUCGGUGUCUGGGCGGUGCAAGUAGGAAGUCCCUUUUUUGCCCACAACCGGUCGCCGCUCGGGGGUGACAAAUGCUUCUUUUGAAAAUUUUGACCCUCAAAUUCAGGUAAGGACUACCCCGCUGAACUUAAGCAUAUCAAUAAGCCGGAGGAAAAGAAACUAACAAGGAUUCCCCCUAGUAACUGCCGAGUGAAGCGGGAAAAAGCUCCAAAUUUUGAAUCU